rnacentral:rRNA from 1 species
UGGGGAAUUUUGGCCAAUGGGGGAAACCCUGAUCCAGCCAUCCCGCGUGUGCGAUGAAGGCCUUCGGGUUGUAAAGCACUUUUGGCAGGAAAGAAACGUCAUGGGUUAAUACCCCGUGAAACUGACGGUACCUGCAGAAUAAGCACCGGCUAACUACGUGCCAGCAGCCGCGGUAAUACGUAGGGUGCAAGCGUUAAUCGGAAUUACUGGGCGUAACGCGUGCGCAGGCGGUUCGGAAAGAAAGAUGUGAAAUCCCAGAGCUCAACUUUGGAACUGCAUUUUUAGCUACCGGGCUAGAGUGUGUCAGAGGGAGGUGGAAUUCCGCGUGUAGCAGUGAAAUGCGUAGUUAUGCGGAGGAACACCGAUGGCGAAGGCAGCCUCCUGGGAUAACACUGACGCUCAUGCACGAAGGCGUGGGGAGCAAACAGG